GGCUCGGCUUGUCCUGGAGAUUGGUUUAGUCCGCCGCAUGGGGUUCGGGGUAGUGAGGGUCGAUUUUUUCGAAGUGAUAAGUUGUAAUAGUGAAUGACUCAAAGACUAGUUAGGAGUAAGGAUUGACUCAGAAUCUCUGAGGAAGAUGCCAAAGUUGAGCUUCCCUUGGCUUGGUGCACAAUGCCAGGUGUCGCCUUGGGGUUGGUUGGUCGAUAUAUAGAUCAGUAAGGAGCCAGAGUCGGCGGCUGGGGUGG
rnacentral:lncRNA from 1 species